ACUGAGCAUUGUGUCCAGGUGGUACAGGCUGAAAGAAAACAUUGGAUUAAUCUACUCAUGCAGGAUAGAAAUCAUAAAAUACCAGCUGAGACUGUAUACAAGAAUUCAUUUUCCAAAUGUCCACAAUCUAAAAUAUGCUAAUAUGCCUUUUGAAUUGCCUGGAGCUGUGAACAUCCUUCAGUUUUGAUCUGGAGCUUGGGAGAAGAGCCUGAUCCCUACCUCACUAGUGGCUUUGAAAAGAAACAAGAAACUCUAAUGAAGGUUUAGAAGUGAGGAUUUAACUUCUUAACUUGAGAAUUUUCUUGUUCUGUUCUCCACAGUACAAUGGGAUACAGUGAAGAAAUGUCUGUGGAAUAAAAAUGUACACUUUACCUUCUGCAAAGAAAAUACUC